rnacentral:rRNA from 1 species
CAAUAGCGUAUAUUAUUGAUGUUGCAGUUGAAACGUUCGUAGUCGAAUCUUAUCUGCCAAAGCAUCAUGUCAUUUAUGAUGACAUAAUGCUCUCGGCAGAGAUUGUACAAGCGUUUGCAUGUGUUUCACAUGUCUGACCUUGUAUCUUACUUUGAGUGAAUCGGCGUGUUCCACGCAGGCAUGUGCCUUGAACGAUUUACCAUAGCAUAAUCAGAGUAUGGAACUGCUUCCUUUCGAUACUGAUAGGAACGGUUGAGGGCAUUCGUAUUCGACUGCUAGAGGUGAAAUUCUUUGAUUAGUCGAGGACGAACCAUUGCGAAAGCAUCUGCCAAGGACGUUUCCUUUGA